rnacentral:rRNA from 1 species
AGCAGCCGCGGUAAUUCCAGCUCCAAUAGCGUAUAUUAAAGUUGUUGCAGUUAAAAAGCUCGUAGUUGAAUUUCGAGAUCAAAUUGUUGGUCGUGCCUCGGUACGUACUGGCAUUAUUGAUUUCUCCCUUCUGAAGAACCACGAUGUCAUUAAUUUGGUGUCGUGGGGAAUCAGGACUGUUACUUUGAAAAAUUAGAGUGUUUAAAGCAAGCUAACGCUUGAAUACAUUAGCAUGGAAUAAUGAAAUAGGACGUUCGAUCCUAUUUUGUUGGUUUCUAGGAUUGACGUAAUGAUUAAUAGGGAUAGUUGGGGGCAUUAGUAUUCAAUUGUCAGAGGUGAAAUUCUUGGAUUCAUUGAAGACUAACUACUGCGAAAGCAUUUGCCAAGGAUGUUUUCAUUAAUCAAGAACGAAAGUUAGGGGAUCGAAGACGAUCAGAUACCGUCGUAGUCUUAACCAUAAACUAUGCCGACUAG